rnacentral:rRNA from 1 species
CUGCACGCGCGCUACACUGAUUGAUUCAAUGAGUUUAACACCUUGUGCCGAUAGGUAUGGGUAAUCUUUUAAAAAUCAAUCGUGAUGGGGAUAGACUAUUGCAAUUAUUAGUCUUCAACGAGGAAUUCCUAGUAAGCAUGAGUCAUCAGCUCAUGCUGAUUACGU